rnacentral:rRNA from 1 species
UACGUAGGGUGCAAGCGUUAAUCGGAAUUACUGGGCGUAAAGCGUGCGCAGGCGGUUCGGAAAGACAGGUGUGAAAUCCCAGGGCUUAACCUUGGAACUGCACUUUUAACUACCGGGCUAGAGUACGUCAGAGGGGGGUAGAAUUCCACGUGUAGCAGUGAAAUGCGUAGAGAUGUGGAGGAAUACCGAUGGCGAAGGCAGCCCCCUGGGAUGAUACUGACGCUCAUGCACGAAAGCGUGGGGAGCAAACAGG